CGCGCGCCGCUGCCGCCCAACCGCCCCGGGCAGCGGCCCCGCCCCUGCGGGAGUGUGAGUGAGAUGGUGGCAGCGGAGGGAGAGCGUGUGUGUGAGGGAGAGAAUGGGGGAGCGCAUGUGUGAGAAUGUGUGUGUGUGGUGUGAGAGAGAAUGGGCGUGUGUGCACGAGGGUAUAAGCGUGUGAGAGAGAAUGUGUGUGUAAAUGUGUGAGAGUAUGAGUGUGUGCGGGUGUGUGCGACUGAGGCUAAAGCUCAGUGUGUGUUUAUGAGAGUGUGACUGAAUGUCACGCUGGGUGUGAUGAUGAAUGUGAACGUGCGUGAGGUGUGUGAGUGUGAUGACGUGUGGACUGAGUGACAUGUUUGUGUGAGUGUGAUGGUGUGUGUGACUGCUGUGUGUGACUGAGUGUGGAUGCGUGUGUGUGACAGGAUGUGUGAGGCUGGCAUGGCAGUGUGUAUGAGGACACGUGCAGGAGUGUGCGUUUGUGUUGGGGAGAGUCAGUGUGAGCACAGAUGUGUGUGUGUCAACACAAGUGUGCGGCGGGCAGCAUGAGUGUGAGAGAGAGCAGGCAUGUGUGCGUGCAAGGCUGUGUGAGAACUGUUGGCCCUAAUGGGAUCACCAGGCAUCCCAAAGAGGGGAAGGAAUUCCCUGACACCAGCUGCAUCCACAAGCAGCAAGGGUCUCCCAGACCUCUGUGCAAGGAUGAGAAGUACUAGAAAUAGAUGAAGCUCGUGACAAGGAUUAUUUGCAAGCACAUAGCUCGUAUAAUUCCGUGGAAUCAGGUGGUUUCUCUGGGAGAGCUGAGAGCUUGCUGAUGUCCUUAUAUUGCUGCUGUCUGCCAUCUUUGAAUAGUUGCAUUGUUCAGAGGACAUCCCCAACAAGUGGAGAAAGGCAAAUAUUGCACCUGUCUUCAAAAAAGGAACAUCAUGGAAGUCAUCAAGGAGAAAGAAGAGUGAGUCCUGGACCUGACACAGCCCUUGCACCUGUCCAGGCUGGGAUGUGUCUGAGCGGAGCAGCUCUGCUGAAAGGAGAGUGUUGGUAGGCAGCGAGCUGAAUGUGAGCCAGGGGUGUCCUCUGGCAGCAAAGAUCAACAGCAGUGUGAGCCAUUCUAGCAAGAGAAAGUCUGUAGAUUAUUACCUCCCUCUCCUUGGCAUUUGUUAGACAACAGCUAAACAGUGCCUCCAGUCUUGGGGCCCCCGUACAGAAAGACAUUGUAUAAGCUGGAGAAUGUUCAGCAGAGGGCCAGUAAGAUGACUUGGGGCUGGAGCACUUGGCCAGUGCAGAGAGGUUGAGGAAAGUGGGCGUGUUCAGCCUGAGAAGGGCUGGCUUUGAGAGGGACAUAACUGUGGCCUGGCUGCGCCUGCAAGGAGGUUAUCAGGAAGACAGAGCAGGGCUCCUCAGUGGCCCAUGUCUGGAGGAUGGGAGACAAAGGACCUAAAUGGAAACAAGAGAAAUUCAGGCUUUAGAGGUAGAAAACCUUUUUCAUUGUCAGGAACCAGAGGAAGCAGUUGCCAAGAGAUGUUUUUCAGUCUCCAUUCAGAGAGGCUUUUCGUACUCAGCUGGAUGAAGCCCUUAACAACCUGGUGCACUCUCGUAGCUGUCCCUUUGAGCAUGACUAGAGACCUUGUGGGAUCCUUUCACACCUGAGUUACUCAGUGAUUCAAUGACGCAGUAAGUCCACCAUGGAGAAAAUUAGCUGUGUCUGCAGAAGGAGAAGACAGUUCUGGCACAUACGGUUUAUCCAGUGACUUGAUAAAUAUUAAAGUACACUGAGAGCAUGGAUGAGAAUACAGGUUACACUGCUCCUAUGUGCUGUAAUAUGUUGGCUGUAGUUCCGUAUUCCCUCGUUUGCUCUCAUUUUGGCCUCAGCAGCCUUACACUCUUCGCUGUACAGCUUCAGGAGGAAUAUGUGCAUGUAUUGAAGUCUUUUAUGGCCACCAGCAAGUUUCUUGGUUUUCCAACUUUUUAGGUUUUCCUCUUUUCAUAUCUCCUUCCUACAGAAAGAGGUCCACAGAAAAAUUCGGAAAAUAAUGCUUGCCAGGUCUCUUGACAAAGUCAGUACUACUCA